rnacentral:rRNA from 14 species
UUAGAGUCAUGGCUCGCUGAAAGCUCCUGAUCCCAUUGAAUCUUGGAAGCUAAACAACGUUGGCCCUGGUUAGUAUUUGAGUCAGAGAAAUGGCUUACUGUGCUAUCUAAU